UGGGGAAUUUUGGACAAUGGGGGAAACCCUGAUCCAGCCAUCCCGCGUGUGCGAUGAAGGCCUUCGGGUUGUAAAGCACUUUUGGCAGGAAAGAAACGUCAUGGGUUAAUACCCCGUGAAACUGACGGUACCUGCAGAAUAAGCACCGGCUAACUACGUGCCAGCAGCCGCGGUAAUACGUAGGGUGCAAGCGUUAAUCGGAAUUACUGGGCGUAAAGCGUGCGCAGGCGGUUCGGAAAGAAAGAUGUGAAAUCCCAGAGCUCAACUUUGGAACUGCAUUUUUAACUACCGGGCUAGAGUGUGUCAGAGGGGGGAGGAAUUCCGCGUGUAGCAGUGAAAUGCGUAGAUAGGCGGAGGAACACCGAUGGCGAAGGCAGCCUCCUGGGAUAACACUGACGCUCAUGCACGAAAGCGUGGGGAGCAAACAGG
rnacentral:rRNA from 1 species